GACGAACGCUGGCGGCGUGCUUAACACAUGCAAGUCGAACGCAGUAGCGAACGGGUGAGUAACGCGUAAUCAACCUGCCCUUCAGAGGGGGACAACAGUUGGAAACGACUGCUAAUACCGCAUACUGAGGGAGGGGAUUGCGUCGGAUUAGCUAGUUGGGGGGGUAACGGCCCACCAAGGCGAUGAUCAGUAGGCGGUCUGAGAGGGUGAACGGGCAAAGUGGGACUGAGAACCGGCCCAGACUCCUACGGGAGGACGCAGGGGGGAAUCUUCCGCAAUGGACGAAAGUCUGACGGAGCAACGCCGCGUGAGUGAUGACGGCCUUCGGGUUGUAAAGCUCUGUUAAUCGGGACGCGGUACCGGAAUAGAAAGCCACGGCUAACUACGUGCCAGCAGCCGCGGUAAUAC
rnacentral:rRNA from 1 species